GGGAGCUUGCUCCCAAAGAUUAGCGGCGGACGGGUGAGUAACACGUGGGUAACCUGCCUGUAAGACUGGGAUAACUUCGGGAAACCGGAGCUAAUACCGGAUAACAUAUGAGAUCACAUGGUCUUAUAUUAAAAGAUGGCUUUUAGCUAUCACUUACAGAUGGACCCGCGGCGCAUUAGCUAGUUGGUGAGGUAACGGCUCACCAAGGCGACGAUGCGUAGCCGACCUGAGAGGGUGAUCGGCCACACUGGGACUGAGACACGGCCCAGACUCCUACGGGAGGCAGCAGUAGGGAAUCUUCCGCAAUGGACGAAAGUCUGACGGAGCAACGCCGCGUGAGCGAAGAAGGUCUUCGGAUCGUAAAGCUCUGUUGUUAGGGAAGAACAAGUAUCGUUCGAAUAGGGCGGUACCUUGACGGUACCUAACCAGAAAGCCACGGCUAACUACGUGCCAGCAGCCGCGGUAAUACGUAGGUGGCAAGCGUUAUCCGGAAUUAUUGGGCGUAAAGCGCGCGCAGGCGGUCCUUUAAGUCUGAUGUGAAAGCCCACGGCUCAACCGUGGAGGGUCAUUGGAAACUGGGGGACUUGAGUGCAGAAGAGGAGAGCGGAAUUCCACGUGUAGCGGUGAAAUGCGUAGAGAUGUGGAGGAACACCAGUGGCGAAGGCGGCUCUCUGGUCUGUAACUGACGCUGAGGCGCGAAAGCGUGGGGAGCGAACAGGAUUAGAUACCCUGGUAGUCCACGCCGUAAACGAUGAGUGCUAAGUGUUAGAGGGUUUCCGCCCUUUAGUGCUGCAGCAAACGCAUUAAGCACUCCGCCUGGGGAGUACGGUCGCAAGACUGAAACUCAAAGGAAUUGACGGGGGCCCGCACAAGCGGUGGAGCAUGUGGUUUAAUUCGAAGCAACGCGAAGAACCUUACCAGGUCUUGACAUCCUCUGACACUCCUAGAGAUAGGAAUUUCCCCUUCGGGGGACAGAGUGACAGGUGGUGCAUGGUUGUCGUCAGCUCGUGUCGUGAGAUGUUGGGUUAAGUCCCGCAACGAGCGCAACCCUUGAUCUUAGUUGCCAGCAUUCAGUUGGGCACUCUAAGGUGACUGCCGGUGACAAACCGGAGGAAGGUGGGGAUGACGUCAAUCAUCAUGCCCCUUAUG
rnacentral:rRNA from 2 species